rnacentral:tRNA from 1 species
GCCUUCGUGGUGUAAUGGUCAGAACGAUCGGCGUGUAUAAUCGAGAGGUCCGUGGUUCGAUUCCCGGCGAAGGCA